UGGUGUUCCCCGAAGUGUAGGCUAGCUGUUAAUGAUGACAACAACAGCAACAGAAGCAAAGGCUACCCAUAAAAACACAAGAAACAAGGAAGUUGCUAACCUGUGAGUGCAGUCCUAUCCCAAAAUCACGGAGCAAAGCCUGACCAUCUCUCCUUGAGCCGGUACAGAGGAUGGCCAAGUGAAGACAAGCCAGAAGGAAAAAGCAAAAGUUAACCAAGCAAACAGAAGAAGUUUAGGAGAUGGAAAAGAUAAGAGCCACCUAGCUUUGGGGUUUUUUGGUUUUUUAUCUACUAUGACUUUGGGGUAAGUUACCAAACCUCUGAGUCUGUGUGCGCAUCUAUAAAUGAGGUUCAUACCCAGUGUUAUUGUGAGGUUCAAUGAAGCAACAUGUAAAAGUUCUUAGCCCAGCUCCAGUUUCAUGGUUGGUGAUCAAGGGAAGUAAAACCUUAUCAGGAAGAGAAAACAAUGUGACUUGGGGGGAACUAAGUGGUUUGCCAAACCCAAUAUCCCUCUUUAUUUCUUCCCAAUGCUACUGUUGACCUAUAGUGUCUGUCUGAAAUAGAACAGACCAUUCCGUUGCUGCCCUGGCCCCGGGUCAAGUAUACAUUUUAACUCCUGGUUUCCUGAGCUUGCCAGUUGCUCUAGGGAAGAAAUUCCCCUCUGUCUCUUAGGCAAGGGGAGAAGGCUUCCUUCUACCUCCCACCUUGUCUGCCAUUAAGUUGCAAGAUCAUGCUGCAAGCCAGAAACUGGCUGUGAGAACACAAGGCCUGAACUUUGUGGCAAGUUCUGGGUGGUCCUUUCUGUUGUAGGGGGAAGGGAGAGGGUAUUAGUAGCUAGAAAAAUUUGU
rnacentral:lncRNA from 1 species